UACGUAGGGUGCAAGCGUUAAUCGGAAUUACUGGGCGUAAAGCGUGCGCAGGCGGUGAUGUAAGACAGGUGUGAAAUCCCCGGGCUUAACCUGGGAACUGCAUUUGUGACUGCAUCGCUGGAGUGCGGCAGAGGGGGAUGGAAUUCCGCGUGUAGCAGUGAAAUGCGUAGAUAUGCGGAGGAACACCGAUGGCGAAGGCAAUCCCCUGGGCCUGUACUGACGCUCAUGCACGAAAGCGUGGGGAGCAAACAG
rnacentral:rRNA from 1 species